GGGAUAACUGAUGGAAACGUCAGCUAAGACCGCAUAGGUGUAGAGAUCGCAUGAACUCUAUAUGAAAAGUGCUACGGGACUGGUAGAUGAUGGACUUAUGGCGCAUUAGCUGGUUGGUAGGGUAACGGCCUACCAAGGCGACGAUGCGUAGCCGACCUGAGAGGGUGACCGGCCACACUGGGACUGAGACACGGCCCAGACUCCUACGGGAGGCAGCAGUAGGGAAUUUUCGGCAAUGGGGGAAACCCUGACCGAGCAACGCCGCGUGAAGGAAGAAGUAAUUCGUUAUGUAAACUUCUGUCAUAGAGGAAGAACGGUGGAUAUAGGGAAUGAUAUCCAAGUGACGGUACUCUAUAAGAAAGCCACGGCUAACUACGUGCCAGCAGCCGCGGUAAUACGUAGGUGGCGAGCGUUAUCCGGAAUUAUUGGGCGUAAAGAGGGAGCAGGCGGCACUAAGGGUCUGUGGUGAAAGAUCGAAGCUUAACUUCGGUAAGCCAUGGAAACCGUAGAGCUAGAGUGUGUGAGAGGAUCGUGGAAUUCCAUGUGUAGCGGUGAAAUGCGUAGAUAUAUGGAGGAACACCAGUGGCGAAGGCGACGAUCUGGCGCAUAACUGACGCUCAGUCCCGAAAGCGUGGGGAGCAAAUAGGAUUAGAUACCCUAGUAGUCCACGCCGUAAACGAUGAGUACUAAGUGUUGGGAGUCAAAUCUCAGUGCUGCAG
rnacentral:rRNA from 1 species